rnacentral:rRNA from 1 species
GACGAACGCCGGCGGCGUGCCUAAUACAUGCAAGCAGAACGCACAGUUUAUACCGUAGCUUGCUACACCAUAGACUGUGAGUUGCGAACGGGUGAGUAACGCGUAGGUAACCUGCCUGGUAGCGGGGGAUAACUAUUGGAAACGAUAGCUAAUACCGCAUAAUAUUGAUUAUUGCAUGAUAAUUGAUUGAAAGAUGCUAUUGCAUCACUACCAGAUGGACCUGCGUUGUAUUAGCUAGUAGGUGAGGUAACGGCUCACCUAGGCGACGAUACAUAGCCGACCUGAGAGGGUGAUCGGCCACACUGGGACUGAGACACGGCCCAGACUCCUACGGGAGGCAGCUGUAGGGAAUCUUCGGCAAUAGACGAAAGUCUGACCGAGCAACGCCGCGUGAGUGAAGAAGGUUUUCGGAUCGUAAAGCUCUGUUGUAAGAGAAGAACGGGUGUGAGAGUGGAAAGUUCACACUGUGACGGUAUCUUACCAGAAAGGGACGGCUAACUACGUG